rnacentral:rRNA from 1 species
CCGCACGAGCGCACCCUUGUCCUUAGUUUGCCAGCCUUAAGUUGGGCACUCUAAGGAGACUGCCGGUGACAAACCGGAGGAAGGUGGGGACGACGUCAAGUCACCAUGGCCCUUACGAGUAGGGCUACACACGUGCUACAAUGGUCGGUACAAAGGGUUGCCAACUCGCGAGAGUGAGCCAAUCCCGAAAAGCCGAUCUCAGUCCGGAUCGGAGUCUGCAACUCGACUCCGUGAAGUCGGAAUCGCUGGUAAUCGUGGAUCAGAAUGCCACGGUGAAUACGUUCCCGGGCCUUGUACACACCGCCCGUCACACCAUGGGAGUGGACUGCACCAGAAGUGGUUAGCCUAACGCAAGAGGGCGAUCACCACGGUGUGGUUCAUGACUGGGGUGAAGUCGUAACAAGGUAGCCGUAGGGGAACCUGCGGCUGGAUCACCUCCUU